rnacentral:ncRNA from 1 species
GGGAUCCUGUAAAAUAUUGCAGCUCCCAGAAGAAAUUUUGGGAUGAAUACUAGGCUAAUUCGGGGAAGUCCUGAGUUUAUCGAAGGAUAAUCCCGAGCUAAAAUCGCAGAUUGCGAUAAAUGUGUAGAGACUAUAUACCUAGGGCCUAAAGCAAAAAGCUAUGGUCAAGAGAUAGUCCAAGUCCCGAUGUAAAUCGGGA